ACUCCUACGGGAGGCAGCAGUGGGGAAUAUUGGACAAUGGGCGAAAGCCUGAUCCAGCCAUGCCGCGUGAGUGAUGAAGGUCUUCGGAUCGUAAAGCUCUGUGGGGGAGAAGAAGAAAGUCGGUGAAGAGCCGGCCCUGACGGUAUCCCCUUAGCAAGCACCGGCUAACUCCGUGCCAGCAGCCGCGGUAAU
rnacentral:rRNA from 1 species